rnacentral:rRNA from 1 species
UACAGAGGUCCCAAGCGUUGUUCGGAUUCACUGGGCGUAAAGGGUGCGUAGGCGGUCGGGUAAGUCUGAUGUGAAAUCUCACAGCUUAACUGUGAAACUGCAUUGGAUACUAUCCGGCUCGAGGAAUGGAGGGGAGACUGGAAUACUUGGUGUAGCAGUGAAAUGCGUAGAUAUCAAGUGGAACACCAGUGGCGAAGGCGAGUCUCUGGACAUUUCCUGACGCUGAGGCACGAAAGCGGUGGGAGCAAACAGG